UGCCAGCAUCCUCGGUAAUACGAAGGGUGCUAGCGUUGUUCGGAAUUACUGGGCGUAAAGAGCAUGUAGGCGGAUGAAUUAGUCAGAGGUGAAAGCCCCGAGCUCAACUUGGGAACUGCCUUUGAUACUGGCGAUCUUGAGUUCGAGAGAGGUGAGUGGAAUUCCGAGUGUAGAGGUGAAAUUCGUAGAUAUUCGGAGGAACACCAGUGGCGAAGGCGGCUCACUGGCUCGAUACUGACGCUGAGGUGCGAAAGCGUGGGGAGCAAACAGGAUUAGAUA
rnacentral:rRNA from 1 species